GCGCGUUCCCUAUGACUGGUGCGCUGCACGCGGCCAGCUGCGGAGGACAGCGGAGCUGCGCUGCGGUGAUCUCCCCCGCAACACCUCGCUUCUCUACAGACAAGAGAGAUUGGCUGAAGCAGUUUUGGCGAUGACACAGUGGAGUCAAUGCAGUUCUUCAAGUCAUCUCUGGAAAACUAGCAAGAAAGGAUAAAGCAAUUGGAAAAAAGACAGACGUACAGAAACC